rnacentral:rRNA from 2 species
CUUAAUUGGGCGUUAAGUUGCAGGGUAUAGACCCGAAACCCGGUGAUCUAGCCAUGGGCAGGUUGAAGGUUGGGUAACACUAACUGGAGGACCGAACCGACUAAUGUUGAAAAAUUAGCGGAUGACCUGUGGCUGGGGGUGAAAGGCCAAUCAAACCGGGAGAUAGCUGGUUCUCCCCGAAAGCUAUUUAGGUAGCGCCUCGUGAAUUCAUCUCCGGGGGUAGAGCACUGUUUCGGCUAGGGGGCCAUCCCGGCUUACCAACCCGAUGCAAACUGCGAAUACCGGAGAAUGUUAUCACGGGAGACACACGGCGGGUGCUAACGUCCGUCGUGAAGAGGGAAACAACCCAGACCGCCAGCUAAGGUCCCAAAGUCAUGGUUAAGUGGGAAACGAUGUGGGAAGGCCCAGACAGCCAGGAUGUUGGCUUAGAAGCAGCCAUCAUUUAAAGAAAGCGUAAUAGCUCACUGGUCGAGUCGGCCUGCGCGGAAGAUGUAACGGGGCUAAACCAUGCACCGAAGCUGCGGCAGCGACACUGUGUGUUGUUGGGUA